UACGAAGGGGGCUAGCGUUGUUCGGAAUUACUGGGCGUAAAGCGUGCGCAGGCGGCUUCUCAAGUCAGGGGUGAAAGCCCAGAGCUCAACUCUGGAAUUGCCUUUGAGACUGAGUGGCUUGAGUACGAGAGAGGUGAGUGGAAUUCCCAGUGUAGAGGUGAAAUUCGUAGAUAUUGGGAAGAAACACCGGUGGCGAAGGCGGCUCACUGGCUCGUAACUGACGCUCAU
rnacentral:rRNA from 1 species